UACGUAGGGUGCAAGCGUUGUCCGGAAUUAUUGGGCGUAAAGAGCUCGUAGGCGGCUUGUCGCGUCGGCUGUGAAAACCUGGGGCUCAACCCCGGGCCUGCAGCCGAUACGGGCAAGCUAGAAUUCGGUAGGGGAGACUGGAAUUCCUGGUGUAGCGGUGAAAUGCGUAGAUAUCGGUAGGAACACCAGUGGCGAAGGCGGUCUCCUGGGGCAUUCUUGACGCUGAGGCGCGAAAGCUGGGGGAGCAAACGGG
rnacentral:rRNA from 1 species